CGGCCGAGCCGGGCCGCGCCGCCGCUGCUGCCGCCGCGCGCGGAUUCUGCUUCUCAGAAGAUGCACUAUUAUAGAUACUCUAACGCCAAGGUCAGCUGCUGGUACAAGUACCUCCUUUUCAGCUACAACAUCAUCUUCUGGUUGGCUGGAGUUGUCUUCCUUGGAGUCGGGCUGUGGGCAUGGAGCGAAAAGGGUGUGCUGUCCGACCUCACCAAAGUGACCCGGAUGCAUGGAAUCGACCCUGUGGUGCUAGUCCUGAUGGUGGGCGUAGUGAUGUUCACCCUGGGGUUCGCCGGCUGCGUGGGGGCUCUGCGGGAGAAUAUCUGCCUGCUCAACUUUUUCUGUGGCACCAUCGUGCUCAUCUUCUUCCUGGAGCUGGCUGUGGCAGUGCUGGCCUUCCUGUUCCAGGACUGGGUGAGGGACCGGUUCCGGGAGUUCUUCGAGAGCAACAUCAAGUCCUACCGGGACGAUAUCGACCUGCAAAACCUCAUUGACUCCCUUCAGAAAGCUGUAAGCACCUCCCCAGCGGGCCCCCGAUAGAGCACGCGCCUCCCUGUGCUGCCCGGAGCUGAGUCUAGCAGGGGCACCAGGCCUUCUCUGUGGGUUUUCUGCCUGCAGCUUGGCAGACAGCAGGGAGGCCGUGGAACAAGCCACCCCACCUCUGGUCUGUUCCACUUUGCCGGCUUGUGGUUGCCUGGUGGGCCAGCCCUUUCCCAUUGGGAUUGGGCAGGCAAGUCCAGCUGCACCCGAGGCCACCCACCCCCACGUGCCCGGCCCUCCUCUUUCAGCCCCGGAUCUUUCCAAUCCUGUCCAAUAGCCACACCAGCUGAAAUCUUCCUUAGGCGCUGCAUACCGUAAGGCACAGCUUCUUCCCCCUGGCUCAUGACUCACUGUCUGACGCUAUUCCUAUCCCCUUCCUCCCCGGGACCUUUUCU
rnacentral:sRNA from 1 species